rnacentral:lncRNA from 1 species
AUGCAGAAGAAAUCAUGCAAACAAGAAGGAAGCAGGAAAGCAAGCAAGAGGAGAAGCAAUGGAGGAGAAGCAAAGGAGGAGAAGGAUUGGAGAAGGACUUCCAGCAAGCAAGGGCUGGAAGCCAGUCAGUGUGCGGGGAGCUGUCUCGGGCUGUGCUGGGGUGGGUGUCGGUGUCGGCGCCGUGUCCGUGGUGUGUCCCGCGAGUGGCGGGGGUGUCCUGUCCCGCGCGGCGGUGUCGGUGUCGCUGUCGUGCUGUCGGCGGCGGGCGCGAGUGAGGCGUCGGAGCACACGGUGUCGCUGCAGGCUCAGGAACGGCGCGGGAGCGGCGGGAGGGCGGCGGGCGCGAGUGAGGCGUCGGAGCACACGGUGUCGCUGCAGGCUCAGGAACGGCGCGGGAGCGGCGGGAGGGCGGCUCCGCCCCGGGGCGGCGGGAAGGGCGGCUGUGCGCGCGGGGGGAGCGGCGCGGGGCGGGCAGGAGAGCGGCGGCGGCGGCGUUGGGAGCCGUGCGGGGCGCGGGCGGCGGCGGCGGCCAUGGNNNNNNNNNNUCUGGGACAUGUUGAACGAGAAGGAAAAAGUUCAGACAUUGCAGAGAAGUGGGCCAGGAAGUAGAGUGGGUGAUUUCCCUUGAGGGGAAUCCCUUGAGGUGUGUUGUCCUUGUGUGGAGGGCUGGAAUUGUGUUAGAUGAAAUUGCAGAGGGCCUUGUCUUGUGCAGGUCAGAGUAUGUCAGAGGAAGGCAUUUUGACUCCCUCGCUAUCCUGCUGUUGCAUGGAUUCUGUGUAGAGUUGUAAUUGCUUGUGAUCACCAUUUCGCUGCUCUCUGCAUGCCCUUCUUGUGCCCCCCAUCUUUUUCUAUGCUCUUUGAAGAUACAUCGACUUUUUCACUCUCUUUACCACCAGAAAGUAGUUUGUAAAGGGGAAGAUGCAUCUGAAACCAUGUUAUACUUUUUCCGUCUAUGAGUAUGCCACUAGCGUGCUUUGCAAUAGAGAGGUAGAAGAGCACAGCCAGAAGUCAGGAGAAGAAAGAAACUGGUUUGAUGCACGAGCCAAGGUGUUUUGUUUGAGGAUGGCUUCAGAGGAUCUGUGCCAGUUGUAUGCAUUCUCUGGUGACUGGCCUGUCUUGUGUCCUUGGAGUGCUGGUAAAUGUGGCGUGAUUGUUUCCUUGUGCUCAGCUCAUGGUCAUUGCAAAUGGGUUGCAAUGUUGGAGGCUUGUCCGAUGCUCAUGAUACAGUGAUGUUGGAGUCUUGCUCCUUCACACACAGGCCUUGUAAAGAAACAUGAGAUAGGCGAGCACCGUUGGUGUUUGUUCAACUCGUUCUUCUUAUAUGCUACUGCUGUUGGUUUUAUGGACUUACAAUCCCCUUAUGUGUAAUCCCCUUAUUAGUAGUAUUUUUUCUUUUUUAAUUUUCACGUCUCUGUUGGCAUGCAUCUAGGAGGUCCUCAGCUCCUGGUUUGGAACAACUUGCUGAGGCUAGUUGUUCAGUAUCUGAGGUUUUCUCUGACAGAAUAAAACCAAUACCGAUUUUGCUUUGAUCUGUCAUGACAUGAGGUCAACAAAUGCUGAUUUAUUUUGUUAUGCAUCAUUUAUACCUGAGAUUGCUGAAGGAGUGCAAGACAUGAAGUGUGGUGAUGGUGAUCCUGCAAGCACUAUUCUUUGUCAUUCAGUGUGCCCUUGAAAACCUUUCAAAUGAAAAUGUCUUUGUUGUUUUUUUUUUUUUGUUUGUUUGGUUUUUUUUGGGUGGGAACCUUGUGAAAUCUUCAUGGUAUGUGUGGUUCCAGAAAGAUGCCUGAAACUGUAGAGCUGCUGGUGUUGUGAUGUUGACACAUUGCUCAGAAAUGCAUUCGACAGAGGCACAUGAAACAAUUGUGCUCUUGUCUUUGCCUAAUUAUGUACUUUUUUUCCUGAGCAGAGAAAUGGUUUGACAUACGGUGUCCUGAUUUUAUGUGGUUUCAACAUUGGCAAUCACAACCACCUCUUGAAAAGCCCCAGAACUUUUCAUUGAAAGAUGUAACACAAACAUGCAUAGAGUUGAUGUUAUCCAUAAGAGUGCUUUGCUUGUCAACAUCUGGGGUGUCCUUUCACAAAAUGAAAUGAGCACCCUUUGCCUUUUGGGCUGUCACACCAUCACCUUUAGGAAUAAAGUUCCUUAUCCCCCUGUAAUGUUUGCAUAUGAGAUUGCNNNNNNNNNNAGAGAGUGUCUAUGGGAGUCUGUUUGUAUGUUUCUUUGUGGUGCUUUCAUUGAUGGGAAGGUUCUGCAAAAGCUGGAGUCAGCCUUGGGUUGUGGUGAGCAAGUGUGGAAUCUGGUGGAGGUGAACAUGUCAGUGGUGCUGAGUAGGACCGGGCCAUUUUGGAUGUUUUCAGGGUGAUGUGGAGCAGGGCGAUCUUGCCUUGUGUUUGCUUGCAACUUGUUGGAAGGUGGUGUUUUCCUGGGAUGACCUCCCUUUUUACAAUGGAAGUGAAUGACGAGGACCUUAAGGUACCUUGUGCUGAAGGUGACACGUGGACAUCCGUGGUUCCCUUGCUGAGAGCAGGAUGAACACUGCAAUUAGAUGAGGCUGAUCAGGGCCUCAUCCUGUGAAGGUCUCUCUGUCUCCAAGGAAAGUUAUUUGUGUCAAUCCCUGGCCCAGUGUUCCAUGGCCUACCCAGGUGCUGUGUAGAGUUUAGUUUUUGUUUGCCCACUUGGUUUUCCUUCAUCUCACUGUUCUGUACCACAGGCCUGGUUUUACAGCAGUCUGUCAGAUGGCCUUUGACUCCUGUGUUCCUGAGCAUGAGGAGUGGCUGCUCCAGCAGAAGCUGUUGUAAAUGCAGUCUAUCAGGUCAGCUUUCUCCAUUUCCAUCAGAGAUUGCUGAGCCAGUGCAAAACAUUAAGAGUGCCGUUUGUGCAGGGGGGAAGAUCCUGGUAGUGGUGGGAGAAGGUGAGGCUCUGCAGAGCCUUGGUAAGUUGUUCAUAUGCAAAAUAUGUUUUUGAGAGACAGAUGUAUGUAUUUUUAGUUGUUAAAAAAAAUAAUAAUAAAAUGAGUGAAAGACUUACGUGAGCUGUAUGGAGGUCUUGGUGCCUGUUUGCAGUGGGCAUCCAGGUCCUCUGGUGUGCGGUGGCUCAUCAGAGAAAUUCCUUGGGGGGACAUGACCAUCUUGAGUGCUAAGGGAUGCUGUACAGAGCAGAAUGGAAGGCAGUGAGGAAGAGGAAGAAGAGGUCUUGCCUUAGAGCAAGUCAUCUUGAUUGGAAGAGUGGUGUAGGCAUUUGGAAAUCAUUUUGAGAAUGGAAGGAAAAAAAAAAAAAGUAAAGUAAAGAGGAGAGGAGAGGAAGAGAAGCAGAUGGAUUGAAGGAGUGAAGGAAAGAAAGGAAGCAUGAAGAUACUGUAGGAUGACUGAAAGAAGUAAGAGAAAAGGAAAGAAGGAACUGAAAGGAUGAAACAAGUAAAAAGGACGUCACUGAAAGAACGAAGGAACUGGAAGAGAGGUAGAGAACGAGUGAAGAAAGAACAUGAGAGAAAGCAUGACAGAAGGAAGGAAGACAUUGAGAAGAAUGUAGGCAAGCAAGAAGCAACCAAGACUGAGAAUGGAAGAGAAACAAAAGAGGAAAGAGAAAUAGAAGGAAGAAAAGGAAGCAAGAAAGAAAUGAGAGGAAGGAAAUUUAGGAAAAUACGGAAAGGAAGGAAGAAAAGAAGCAAAGACUGAAGAGGGAAGGAAGAGAAAGAUGGAUAGUAGUGAAAGUAGGAAAGAAGACAUUGAGAAGAAAUUAGGCAAGCAAAAAAAGCAAGUGAGAGAGAGAAUGGAGGAGAAGCAAAGGAGGAGAGAGACGAGAAAGAAAGGAAGGAAGCAAGCAAGCAAGAAAAGAAUCAAGGAGGAGCCUCGGCCGGUGUGAUGCAUGCAGGGCUGGCAGCCGGUCGACGUGCGGGGAGUGGCGUGUGGACCACACACGACGCUCCAGACUGAAAAGACGACUGAAAGGAAGUAAAAGAAAAAACGAAGUAACAUAGGAAUAAAAAAGGAAGAAGAAAUGGAAUGAAAAAAUAAAAUAAAGGAAUACAGAAGGAACAGAGGGAAAGAAUGAAGAUAUAUGAAGAAGAAAAAAAGGUUCAGAAAGAAGGAAAGAAGUGAAGAAGGAACAAAGGGAAAGAAGUAAUAGCGAGAAUGAAGGAACAAAGUGAAAGAAGGAACAAAGGGAAAGAAGUAAUAGCGAGAAUGAAGGAACAAAGUGAAAGAAGGAAAAAAGUGAAAGAAGAAGUGGAAGAAGAAAAAGGGAGAAAGAAGGAAAGAAGUAUGCAUGUAGAAGAAAGCAUUCAAGCAAGAAGCUAGCAGGAAAGCAAGCAAGAGAGAGAAUGGAGGAGAAGCAAAGGAGGAGAGAGACGGGAAAGAAAGCAAGCAGGGGCUGGGAGGAGCCGGUCGGUGUGCGGGGAGCGGCGUGUGGAGCGCGGCGCUGCGGGGCUGUUGCCCCGUGGUUGUCGCUGCUGACUCGGGCUGUGCUGGGGUGGGUGUCGGCGCCGUGACCGUGGUGUGUCCCGCGAGUGGCGGGGGUGUCCUGUCCCGCGCGGCGGUGUCGGUGUCGCUGUCGUGCUGUCGGCGGCGGGCGCGAGUGAGGCGUCGGAGCACACGGUGUCGCUGCAGGCUCAGGAACGGCGCGGGAGCGGCGGGAGGGCGGCUCCGCCCCGGGGCGGCGGGAAGGGCGGCUGUGCGCGCGGGGGGAGCGGCGCGGGGCGGGCAGGAGAGCGGCGGCGGCGGCGUUGGGAGCCGUGCGGGG